AUACGGAGGGUCCAAGCGUUAUCCGGAAUCAUUGGGUUUAAAGGGUGCGCAGGCGGUUUAAUAAGUCAGUGGUGAAGUCUCGGAGCUCAACUCCGAAACUGCCAUUGAUACUGUUAAACUUGAGUUCAGUUGGAGUAGGCGGAAUGUGUAGUGUAGCGGUGAAAUGCUUAGAUAUUACACAGAACACCGAUAGCGAAGGCAGCUUACUAAACUGAUACUGACGCUGAGGCACGAAAGCGUGGGGAGCGAACAGGAUUAGAAACCCUAGUAGUCC
rnacentral:rRNA from 1 species